GUGGGUGUGGCGCAGUGGUUAGCGCGUAGGUCUCAUAGCUGUUAUCGUGCUGUGACUUGGAAUAUCCUAAGGUUGAGGGUUCGACACCCUCCACCCACA
rfam:Volvox carteri f. nagariensis unplaced genomic scaffold VOLCAscaffold_124, whole genome shotgun sequence.